rnacentral:rRNA from 1 species
GGCUGCUUGAGAACUACGAGCGUGUGCUUAAAACUCAAAGAAUUUGGCGGCUCGUUAACUACCUAGGGGAAUAUGUGCCUUAAUCCGAUGUUACCCGUUGUAUCUUACUGCGCCUUGAAAAAGAACAGUUGGUGUAUUGCCGUUGUCAGCUUGUUGUGGAGCAAAAAGUAACAGGCUCGAUGGGACUACUAAUUCGUUAGUAUAAUCCAUGAAUUCAGGUCGAAAUGCUGCCUAUGGUGCUAGGGAGUAGGUGUUACAAUUUUGAGUUAAAAUAACGGAUCUCAUAUGUGAAAUUUCUAUGAGGGAAGGUGGACUUAGGAGUAAGUGAGGAUUAGUAUGCUCCCCUGAACAUGAAUCUAACUUGUGUACAAACCGCCCGUCGCUCUCGCCGGAAGGUGAGAUAAGUCGUAACAGGG